UAGGGAAUCUUCCGCAAUGGGCGAAAGCUUGACGGAGCAACGCCGCGUGAGUGAUGAAGGUCUUCGGAUCGUAAAACUCUGUUAUUAGGGAAGAACAAAUGUGUAAGUAACUAUGCACGUCUUGACGGUACCUAAUCAGAAAGCCACGGCUAACUACGUGCCAGCAGCCGCGGUAAUACGUAGGUGGCAAGCGUUAUCCGGAAUUAUUGGGCGUAAAGCGCGCGUAGGCGGUUUUUUAAGUCUGAUGUGAAAGCCCACGGCUCAACCGUGGAGGGUCAUUGGAAACUGGAAAACUUGAGUGCAGAAGAGGAUAGUGGAAUUCCCUGUGUAGCGGUGAAAUGCGCAGAGAUAUGGGGGAACACCAGUGGCGAAGGCGACUUUCUGGUCUGUAACUGACGCUGUUGUGCGAAAGCGUGGGGAUCAAACAGG
rnacentral:rRNA from 1 species